UACGGAGGGCGCAAGCGUUGUCCGGAAUCACUGGGCGUAAAGGGCGCGUAGGCGGCUCGGUAAGUAGGGGGUGAAAUCCUGCGGCUUAACCGCAGGGCUGCCUUCUAAACUGUCGAGCUUGAGCACGGUAGAGGCAGAUGGAAUUCCCGGUGUAGCGGUGGAAUGCGUAGAGAUCGGGAAGAACAUCAGUGGCGAAGGCGGUCUGCUGGGCCGUUGCUGACGCUGAGGCGCGACAGCGUGGGGAGCAAACAGG
rnacentral:rRNA from 1 species